UUAGUACUCCCUCCGUUCGGAAUUACUUGUUACAAAAAUGGAUGUAUCUACAACUAAAAUACAUCUAGAUACAUUUAUUUUUUGGACGAGUAAUUCCGAACGGAGGGAGUAUAAG
rnacentral:pre_miRNA from 1 species